CCUACGGGAGGCAGCAGUAGGGAAUAUUGCACAAUGGGGGAAACCCUGAUGCAGCGACGCCGCGUGGGGGAUGAAGGUUUUCGGUUUGUAAACCCCUUUUGUCAGGGAAGAUAAUGACGGUAUCUAACGAAUAAGCCCCGGCUAACUCCGUGCCAGCAGCCGCGGUAAUACGUAGGGGGCAAGCGUUAUCCGGAUUUAUUGGGUGUAAAGGGCGGGUAGGCGGGAAAGCAAGUCUGGUGUGAAAACACAGGGCUCAACCCUGGGACUGCAUUUGAAACUGUUUAUCUUGAGUGCAGGAGAGGCAAGUGGAAUUCCGUGUGUAGCGGUGAAAUGCGUAGAAAUUCGGAGGAAAACCAGGGGCGAAGGCGGAUUGCUGGACAGUAACUGACGGUGAGGCGCGAAAGCGUGGGGAGCAAACAGGAUUAGAUACCCCUGUAGUC
rnacentral:rRNA from 1 species